rnacentral:piRNA from 1 species
UGUUCGGGCCUAGUGUCUUCCUGGUAGAAGU